rnacentral:rRNA from 2 species
GACAGAGGCCACAAGCGUUAGGCGGAAUCACUGGGCUUAAAGCGUGUGUAGGCGGAUCGUUAAGUGCUUUGUGAAAUCCCACAGCUUAACUGUGGAACUGCUUGGCAUACUGGCGGUCUUGAGCCAUCUAGGGGUUGCUGGAACAAACGGUGGAGCGGUGAAAUGCGUAGAUAUCGUUUGGAACGCCAAUGGUGAAAACAGGCAACUGGGGAUGUGCUGACGCUGAGACACGAAAGCCAGGGGAGCAAACGGG